rnacentral:rRNA from 1 species
CUCCUACGGGAGGCAGCAGUAGGGAAUAUUGGACAAUGGGCGAAAGCCUGAUCCAGCCAUGCCGCGUGGAGGAUUAAGGCCCCUCUGGGUUGUAAACUCCUUUUAUCUGGGAAGAAACACCUCUAUUUAUAGAGACUUGACGGUACCAGAGGAAUAAGCACCGGCUAACUCCGUGCCAGCAGCCGCGGUAAUACGGAGGGUGCAAGCGUUAUCCGGAUUCACUGGGUUUAAAGGGUGCGUAGGUGGGCUAUUAAGUCAGUGGUGAAAGCCCCAGGCUCAACUUGGGAACUGCCAUUGAUACUGAUAGUCUUGAAUUUGGUAGAGGUAGGCGGAAUGUAACAUGUAGCGGUGAAAUGCUUAGAUAUGUUACAGAACACCGAUUGCGAAGGCAGCUUGCUAUGCCAAUAUUGACACUGAGGCACGAAAGCGU